GAACCCUGGAAAAUACAAAAAAGUUUCUGCAUUACUUUCAUUGAAAAUUGGUUGGAAUUGUUCCCUGAUUUCUCUUUUAGUACUUCUUGGACCAUGAAUGAUCACUGAAGUGCAAGCAUGUAUUCCAUUUGAAAUAUGUAAUUGAAAUGUGAAGAUCUAAUGACAAAUGUUGCCCUUUUAAUUUUAUUCACAUGUUUCUUUUAAGUUCAUCUAGCCUCUUUAUUAGUUUUAGCUUUCUUUUAUGUGUUUCUUCUCAUUUCUCUCACUGUUUGUUUCCCACCUUUAAGUCUGGUUUAGGAUCUGGUCUUAAGCAUCUAUGUUCCUUUUAAUAGCUGUGAUUUGAACAAAAGGUUGCAACUGUUGUUUAUGAACAAAGGGACACAAAAAUGAUUGUGAA